rnacentral:rRNA from 1 species
GAUGAACGCUGGCGGCGCGCCUAACACAUGCAAGUCGAACGGUUAAAGCCCCUUCGGGGGUGCAUAGAGUGGCGAACGGCUGAGUAACACGUGGGCAACCUGCCCCCCGCACCGGGACAGCCUCGGGAAACCGUGGUUAAUACCGGAUACUCCGCCACCCCCGCAUGGGGGCGGCGGGAAAGCCCAGGCGGAGGGGGAUGGGCCCGCGGCCUGUUAGCUCGUUGGCGGGGUAACGGCCCACCAAGGCGAUGAUGGGUAGCCGGGUUGAGAGACCGACCGGCCAGAUUGGGACUGAGACACGGCCCAGACUCCUACGGGAGGCAGCAGUGGGGAAUCUUGCACAAUGGGCGAAAGCCUGAUGCAGCGACGCCGCGUGCGGGACGAAGGCCUUCGGGUCGUAAACCGCUUUCAGCAGGGACGAGGCCGAAAGGGACGGU